UCUAGAACCCGAGAUAUGGACUGAACACUGAACAGUGUCUGGGCUGCAAGACAGAUUCAGACUUCUCUUUUGAUGCUAAGAUUUGGACUCCAAAAUGGCAGAAUUGAGUCUUGGACUCCCCAUUAAUGUUUUAGGCCUAUGUCUUAGCUUUCUAGC
rfam:Populus trichocarpa isolate Nisqually-1 chromosome 14, whole genome shotgun sequence.